rnacentral:rRNA from 1 species
GUAACUGAGGGGACAAGCUUAAACUGGAGAAUGAUGGAGUAUGUCAUACGCCAAGUGAUGGAUCUUGACAAGUUAGUGGAGCGUCAUGAUGCUGGAAACUAUGAUCAAGGACGAGCAUAUGCAUUCAUCCAUACGUUGACAUGGUCAGAUUGCAACAAGAACUUCUCGAAACUCCCUAAUCGUGUUGUCCCCGAAGAAAUGGAGGAAUAUGGUGCCAUAACCAUUGUUUGUCAUCCACACAGUACUGUGUCAAGUACAUACACCAUUUUUGAUAUUGACGGUCGUGUCUGCGUCAACAAAUGGAACGAGUUCAUGAAGAAGGAAAAAUCUUGCUGUUAG